UUUGAGUUUCACCGUUGCCGGCGUACUCCCCAGGUGGAUUACUUAACGCUUUCGCUGUAGAGCUUACACUAUAUCGCAAACUCCUAGUAAUCAUCGUUUACUGCGUGGACUACCAGGGAUUGAAAUGUACCUGACGAACUGCGAGAGUGGUUUUCCAGCAAUGGCAGGUAUGUAGGUGCUGCAUGGUUGUCGUCAGCUCGUGCCGUGAGGUGUCGGCUUAAGUGCCAUAACGAGCGCAACCCUGACUGUCAGUUGCUAACAGGUUAAGCUGAGGACUCUGGCGGGACUGCCGGCGUAAGCUGUGAGGAAGGUUGGGAUGACGUCAAAUCAGCACGGCCCUUACAUCCGGGGCGACACACGUGUUACAAUGGCAGGGA
rfam:Tannerella sp. oral taxon BT063 isolate Cell 1/3 contig_2519917654, whole genome shotgun sequence.